rnacentral:rRNA from 1 species
GACGAACGCUGGCGGCGUGCCUAACACAUGCAAGUCGAACGAAAGGGCCAGGAGUUUGUGGGGUGGUUGAUUGCCGAGGGGGUGAGAAACACGUGUGUAUAAUCUACCUGUCAGACUGGGAUAUUCAGGGAAAAGGGGAUCUUAUCCCGGAUGAUCUCUUGCUGCACGGUGGGCAUUGGUGAGAUUCGGUGGUUGUGGAUGGAAUAGCGGCUUACGAGCUUGAUUGUGGGGUAGUGGCGUACCAAGGCUAUGAAGGGUAGCAGGCCUGCGAGGGUGACCGGCCACAUGAGGACUGAGAUACGGACCAGUCUCCAACGGGACGCAGCAGUGGAGAGUAUUACACAGUGGGCCGGCGCCAGUUGCGGCAACGCCGCGUGCGGGAAGACGGCCUUCGGGUUGUAAACCGAUUUCGCCUGUGACGAGGCGAGAGUGACGGUAAUGGGUAAAGAAGCACCGGCUAACUACGUG